GAUGAACGCUGGCGGCGUGCCUAAUACAUGCAAGUCGAGCGAACAGACGAGGUGCUUGCUCCUCUGACGUUAGCGGCGGACGGGUGAGUAACACGUGGAUAACCUACCUAUAAGACUGGGAUAACUUCGGGAAACCGAAGCUAAUACCGGAUAAUUUCUUGAACCGCAUGGUUCAAUAGUGAAAGACGGUUUUGCUGUCCCUUAUAGAUGGAUCCGCGCCGCAUUAGCUAGUUGGUAAGGUAACGGCUUACCAAGGCGACGAUGCGUAGCCGACCUGAGAGGGUGAUCGGCCACACUGGAACUGAGACACGGUCCAGACUCCUACGGGAGGCAGCAGUAGGGAAUCUUCCGCAAUGGGCGAAAGCCUGACGGAGCAACGCCGCGUGAGUGAUGAAGGUCUUCGGAUCGUAAAACUCUGUUAUUAGGGAAGAACAAAUGUGUAAGUAACUAUGCACGUCUUGACGGUACCUAAUCAGAAAGCCACGGCUAACUACGUG
rnacentral:rRNA from 1 species